GUAGGGGGCAAGCGUUGUCCGGAUUCAUUGGGCGUAAAGAGCGUGUAGGCGGUCAGGUAGGUCGGUUGUGAAAACUGGAGGCUCAACCUUCAGAGGUCGACCGAAACCCCCUGGCUAGAGUCCGGGAGAGGAGAGUGGAAUUCCUGGUGUAGCGGUGAAAUGCGCAGAUAUCAGGAAGAACACCCGUGGCGAAAGCGGCUCUCUGGAACGGUACUGACGCUGAGACGCGAAAGCGUGGGGAGCGAACAGGAUUAGAUACCCUGGUAGUCCACGCCGUAAACGAUGGGCGCUAGGUGUGGGAGGUGUCGACUCCUCCCGUGCCGCAGCUAACGCAUUAAGCGCCCCGCCUGGGGAGUACGGCCGCAAGGCUA
rnacentral:rRNA from 1 species